rnacentral:rRNA from 1 species
CCCUUAGAUGUUCUGGGCCGCACGCGCGCUACACUGACGAAUGCAACGAGCUUAUAACCUUGGCCGAAAGGUCUGGGUAAUCUCCAAAUUUCGUCGUGAUGGGGAUAGAUUAUUGCAAUUAUUAAUCUUCAACGAGGAAUGCCUAGUAAGCGCAAGUCGUCAGCUUGCGUUGAUUACGUCCCUGCCCUUUGUACACACCGCCCGUCGCUCCUACCGAUUGAAUGGUCCGGUGAAGCGUUCGGACCGUGGCCUUUGGACGGUUCGCCGUCUGUUGGCUGCGGGAAGUUCGUUAAACCUUAUCAUUUAGAGGAAGGAGAAGUCGUAACA